CCUACGGGAGGCAGCAGUGAGGAAUAUUGGUCAAUGGCCGAGAGGCUGAACCAGCCAAGUCGCGUGAGGGAAGACGGCCCUACGGGUUGUAAACCUCUUUUGUCGGGGAGCAAAGGGAGUCACGUGUGACCUUAUCAGAGUACCCGAAGAAAAAGCAUCGGCAAACCCCGUUCCAGCAGCCGCGGCAAUACGGGGGAUGCGGGCGUUACUCGGAUUUAUUGGGGUUAAAGGGUGGGAGGGGGGGUUUUUAAGUCAGCGGUAAAAUCGUGGGGCUCAACCCCGUCCAGCCGUUGAAACUGGGGAUCUAGAGUGUGCGAGAGGUAUGCGGAAUGCGUGGUGUAGCGGUGAAAUGCAUAGAGAUCACGCAGAACCCCGAUUGCGAAGGCAGCAUACCGGUGCACAACUGACGCUCAGGCACGAAAGCGUGGGUAUCGAACAGGAUUAGAUACCCUAGUAGUC
rnacentral:rRNA from 1 species